GUGUCAGCAGCCGCGGUAAUACGGAGGGUGCAAGCGUUGUUCGGAAUUAUUGGGCGUAAAGCGCGCGCAGGCGGCCUGGAAAGUCUAUGGGUGAAAUACCGGGGCUCAACCCCGUGUAGGCCCAGGAUACUGCCAGGCUAGAGACACGUAGAGGCAAGCGGAAUUCCGGGUGUAGCGGUGGAAUGCGUAGAGAUCCGGAAGAACACCGGAGGCGAAGGCGGCUUGCUGGGCGUGAUCUGACGCUGAGGCGCGAAAGCGUGGGGAGCGAACAGGAUUAGAAACCCCCGUAGUCC
rnacentral:rRNA from 1 species